rnacentral:rRNA from 1 species
UACGUAGGUGGCAAGCGUUGUCCGGAAUUAUUGGGCGUAAAGCGCGCGCAGGUGGUUUCUUAAGUCUGAUGUGAAAGCCCACGGCUCAACCGUGGAGGGUCAUUGGAAACUGGGGAACUUGAGUGCAGGAGAGAAGAGUGAAUUCCACGUGUAGCGGUGAAAUGCGUAGAGAUGUGGAGGAACACCAGUGGCGAAGGCGACUCUUUGGCCUGUAACUGACACUGAGGCGCGAAAGCGUGGGGAGCAAACAGG